UGAUGUCUUUUUAUAUGAAUCUUGGUUAUUGUGUUUCUUUAGUUUUACAACUCUUGGCUAUUUUUCUACCAGAUUGUCCUUUCCUCCCAUCAGUCUCAUAUUUUAACACUGUUUUGUGCAUAUUUUACUGUAAUGUUUGUUUUAGUUGUUAGUGCUAAGGAGGGAACCCAGGGCCUCAUGCAUGCUAGGCGAGCACCCUACCAGUGACCUAUAACCCCAACCCUGUAGGAAAUUUUUCAUGUAGAUAUAGGCAAACAAUUAAUCACCUUCACAGCUUUGGCUUUCUAAGUAAACCUUCCAUUUUUGCAGGUCACAAGCAUAUUCUAGAUUUUCUACUAAUACUUGCAAUAGAUAUUGCAUGUACUUUCUUUUGUUUGUUAGAUAGUCUAAGUUUAAAUCACAGGCUCCCACAUAUCCUAGCUGGUGACAUGGGGUGGCAACUUGGCCAGUUCUUCACUUUCUGGUCUGUGGCUGUCCUUUCUGGGGCUCCAGUAAGGAUCAGAUGAGACGUGGCAGGUGAAGAGGGCAACACACAGCCAGCCUGACACAGAGCACUCAGUAAGCAUAACUUACAGAAACUGCUACCCAUUGUCACACUCAUUGCUAAUCGGCACCCACAUUGAUAAUUAUUGCUGAACCACUUCUACUCCUAUGAGUUUGACCUUAGAGUCCACAUAUGAUUGAACUGGUGUUGGUCUUUCUGUGCCUGUCUUAUUUCACCUAGCAUGGGACCCUCUGUUGGCUCACAUUCUUGGUAAUCUGUAGGCCAUGACCGGAGGCUCUUUUACAUUUCUUUUCCUAACCAGCUACUUUGGUGGCAUUGGCCAACUUCUGGUAUAUUCUACACAAACACCUGUGUGGGGUAACUUAAGCCUUGUUUGCAUUCACACUAAAAUUCUAUGGAGCCUCUUGGAUGACCUCAAGGGACAAUUCCCCUGGCACAAACUCUGCUUUGUUAUUUCCUGUCCCUCUUCUUGGCUCUCUGCACUGGGCCAAAAACCCCCAAGUUAGAAGUGACAGGUGGAUGGACAGGUGAGCAUGUCCUGUUUACUCCUGCAAUGGAAGAAAUUUCCCUCAAGCCUCACAAUUCAAUUCUGUGUUUAUUCUGGUAAGUACCAUUUAUCACACUACUCCUACUUGGCCAAGAGAUUUGAUCAAGAAUGGGUAGGGCUUUUAGCUGCUUCUCCUGGAGAUUCCAAGGUUUUCUUCAUUUAAGCUGAUAUUCUAGUUCAUCGUACUGAUGGACCAUUGUUAUUGACCUGGGGCCAUUGUCCUGGCAGUCCUCUGAUCAGCCCCCCCCAUGAUGACUUCUCCUCAGGGAGAAAGGUGGAAAGAAUAAAAUAGGACCAUGAGCUCCAGCAAGUUUCCCUGGCAACUACGGGCUCUUCCCUGGAAUGCAACCUGGGGCUGCAGCAUCUUGGAGGUCUAUGUAGUUUCCUUGUCUGAUCAGUUUUUGGAAGUCAUGCAUUUAUUGUCCAGUGAGCAGGUAUGUGCAGAUCUUAGAGAAAGAAGGGACCAAGCCAACUCUUGUUUCCAACCUGUGGUUUCUACUUGAUGGGAUAUGACCAAGCACCCAGAACAUCCCAUGCCCACUGGCCAUUCUCACAGCCUGGCUGUGGAACACAGCCACACUCUGCAUCCACUUCCGGGACCAGUGGGCUACCUGCUUUGGAGUUUAGGACCUUCUGGCUCGACAGAAACUGCACACUGGCAAGAAAUCCUUUAUUUGGCCUUUAUCCCUAGGUGUCUUGACAUUUCAUCUUCCCAAGGCCAAAGAAAUCAGGAAAGCUUCACACAGAAGAGAAUGAUGCCUAAUUGCAGAAGUUUUCAAUGCAGCGAUGCUUUUUAAGUACACCAUGGUUUAUUUGGGAUUUUAGCUUUUGGAUGCAUACACAGAACUGACAUAUAGUUUUCUUUUUGUGUGUUGCCUGGACAAGAAAUAUAGCCCUGGGCCUAAGCCCUAGAGAUUUGGAUCCAGUUGCCCAGAGGAGGAUACAGGAGCUAGCAUUUUUAAGAAUUUUGUAGAGGGCUUUUAUGGACAGCCAGGUUUGGGAAUAGCUGGCUCAGAAGGCACUACCUCUGCCUUCUUGCCCUUAAACAAAGGGUUCCUGUAGGGGCUCAGAGACCACAUGGGCACCUGGGCCUCACACUCAGAUCCUCUAGUGCCAGUUGUAGCCACAGUGGGGCAAGAAUCUGUGUGCCCCAUGCACACUGCCAUACCCAGCCCUCGCAGGGGACUCAGAGGAACUCUCAUUUAAAACACCGGUGCCUUCCAUGCUCUGGAAACCAGACCUGAGCAUCCAUCUUCAGUCUAAUGAACUCAUGAGCUACGUUUCAAAUAUGUAUAGAUAUGUUUGUGAUGCCUGCAGUAACAACACUGUUGAAUGCACAGGUUUUUAGAGGUCUUGUUCUCUAUCAACAGUGUGUGUACUAUUGAUGUCUUGAUAGCAGGCCAACCAACAAAUUUUUUUAAUAAUUAAGCAGGGAUCUUCAUACACUGAGACACUGGGAAUCCUAGGACAGGGCCUCACUGGAGCCAGCUGUGGCCUUGGAGUUAAAGAGCAGCUGAGUGGCACACAGCCACCCCACUCUCACUCCACUCGGGUGACCAGCUGGCUCGGGUGCGCUCCAGGAUUUGUGUCAUCUCAGGCUGUGACAAGCAAGAGCUCCACACAGAGGAGGGGAUGAGUGAGUCUUUUGGCCAGGGAGGAAACAGUCAUGGGUAGGGUGAGGGCAACGCGACCGCCAUUUCAGUGAGCCUCACCUCCACCUUGGCAUCAGGCUGAUUCUUGGAGAUUUCUCAGCCUACGCAACAGUGCAUGCCCUUGAUGGUUCUGUAAGGCCCACAAAGCAGGCCUUUAAUACCUAGCCUCCCGUAUGGCCUGUCCCUGUGGGAGCAGACACUACAGAUGUGGUGUUACAUGGUUAACAUCUGAUUCACAGGCUUGAACCAAAAUGGCUGCUGCAACUCCUCUGUGGCUGUCUGAGAGAAGAGCAGAUGUUGUUCCAUGAGUCCCAAAAGCACAAACAGAUCUAUCUGUCCAUGCCAUCAUCUUGAAACACAUAGGACCUUUGAGGAAAUCCUUUGCUAUGUUGGGUGAAGAACCAAAUACUGUCCUGCAGCCAAGAUGCAAGUGCUCUGUGGGAAUCCUGCAUUGCCAGUUUUCCUUGGGAGAUUUACACUGCAUACAACUCUGUCAUUCACACAUGAUGCGCAAAGGUGACGUCUGUGCACAAUCUACGUACAUUUAGUGAAGAAACUGUAGGGUCUACACUGCUGGCCUAUCAGUCUGCUGGGAGAAGAAAUAC